CGUCAGGGACCGUGGAUAGCGAGCUGGCGAACCCCGCCAGGGCCGGAAGGCAGCAACGGCAGUCAGUCUUUCUUUGCCGCGGCUCCCUGGCAUUU
rnacentral:SRP_RNA from 1 species